rnacentral:rRNA from 1 species
AUUGAACGCUGGCGGCAUGCCUUACACAUGCAAGUCGAACGGCAGCGGACCUUCGGGUGCCGGCGAGUGGCGAACGGGUGAGUAAUAUAUCGGAACGUACCUUUCAGUGGGGGAUAACGUAGCGAAAGUUACGCUAAUACCGCAUAUUCUGUGAGCAGGAAAGCAGGGGAUCGCAAGACCUUGCGCUGAUUGAGCGGCCGAUAUCAGAUUAGCUAGUUGGUGAGGUAAAGGCUCACCAAGGCGACGAUCUGUAGCGGGUCUGAGAGGAUGAUCCGCCACACUGGAACUGAGACACGGUCCAGACUCCUACGGGAGGCAGCAGUGGGGAAUUUUGGACAAUGGGCGCAAGCCUGAUCCAGCCAUGCCGCGUGAGUGAAGAAGGCCUUCGGUUGUCGAA